AUUGAACGCUGGCGGCAGGCCUAACACAUGCAAGUCGAGCGAGCGGCGGACGGGUGAGUAAUGUCUGGGAAACAGCCUGCUGGAGGGGGAUAACUACUGGAGACGGUAGCUAAUACCGCAUACCAUAAGAUGUGACCAGAUGGGAUUAGCUAGUAGGUGGGGUAACGGCUCACAUAGGCGACGCUCCCUAGCUGGUCUGAGAGGAUGACCAACCACACUGGAACGGAGACACGGUCCAGAUUCCUACGUGAGGCAGCAGUGGGGAAUAUUGCACAAUGGGCGCAAGCCUGAUGCAGCCAGGCCGCGUGUGUGAAGAAGGCCUUCGGGUUGUAAAGCACUUUCAGCGGGGAGGCGUUACCCGCAGAAGAAGCACCGGCUAACUCCGUGCCAGCAGCCGCGGUAAUUC
rnacentral:rRNA from 1 species